GGAGGAGCAAAGUGAUGAGCAAGACUGGCUAGAGCCCCAAAGAGGCACAUUUGUGUGUGUAUCUGUGUGUAUUUUUGUAUGUGUCCUUGUGUGUAUCUGUAUCCUUGUCUGUGCAUGCACACCUGUGUCUGGGAGUACAAAUGUGUGUGACUGGUUAUAGGGAGCUAGCUAUGUGCCUUCUGUUGGGCUAUGACAGUCAAACUGAUAAGAUCUGAUUGCUUC